rnacentral:rRNA from 1 species
AACCCCGGGAAACCGGAGCUAAUACCGGAUACGACGCGCCCCUGCAUGGGGAGUGCGUGGAAAGUUUUUCGGUCUGGGAUGGACUCGCGGCCUAUCAGCUUGUUGGUGAGGUAAUGGCUCACCAAGGCGACGACGGGUAGCCGGCCUGAGAGGGCGACCGGCCACACUGGGACUGAGACACGGCCCAGACUCCUACGGGAGGCAGCAGUGGGGAAUAUUGCACAAUGGGCGAAAGCCUGAUGCAGCGACGCCGCGUGAGGGAUGACGGCCUUCGGGUUGUAAACCUCUUUCAGCAGGGAAGAAGCGAAAGUGACGGUACCUGCAGAAGAAGCACCGGCUAACUACGUGCCAGCAGCCGCGGUAAUACGUAGGGUGCGAGCGUUGUCCGGAAUUAUUGGGCGUAAAGAGCUUGUAGGUGGUU